rnacentral:rRNA from 1 species
UCCGUAGGCGGAUUGAUAAGUCAGAGGUGAAAUCCCACAGCUUAACUGUGGAACUGCCUUUGAAACUGUUAGUCUUGAGUUAUAUGGAAGUAUAUAGAAUGUGUAGUGUAGCGGUGAAAUGCAUAGAGAUUACACAGAAUACCGAUUGCGAAGGCAGUCUACUACGUAUAUACUGACGCUAAUGGACGAAAGCGUGGGGAGCGAACAGGAUUAGAUACCCUGGUAGUCC